UACGUAGGGUGCAAGCGUUGUCCGGAAUUAUUGGGCGUAAAGAGCUCGUAGGCGGUCUGUCACGUCUGCUGUGAAAAACUCGGGGCUUAACCCCCGGGCCUGCAGUGGGUACGGGCAGACUAGAGUGCGGUAGGGGGAGACUGGAAUUCCUGGUGUAGCGGUGAAAAUGCGCAGAUAUCAGGAGGAACACCGGUGGCGAAGGCGGGUCUCUGGGCCGUAACUGACGCUGAGGAGCGAAAGCGUGGGGGAGCGAACAGG
rnacentral:rRNA from 1 species